rfam:Setosphaeria turcica Et28A unplaced genomic scaffold SETTTscaffold_9, whole genome shotgun sequence.
GGUUUUGUAGUGUAGCGGUUAUCACUCCGGAUUCUGAUUGGUCGAACAUGAUCAGAAUGUUCCGGCAACCCCGGUUCGAUUCCGGGCAAGACCU